GACGAACCGUGCGAACGUUGUUCGGAAUCACUGGGCUUAAAGGGCGCGUAGGCGGGCUAUCAAGUCCGGGGUGAAAUCCUCCAGCUCAACUGGAGAACUGCCUCGGAUACUGAUGGUCUCGAGGAGGAUAGGGGCACACGGAACUGCGGGUGGAGCGGUGAAAUGCGUUGAUAUCCAUAGGAACUCCGGUGGCGAAAGCGGUGUGCUGGAUCCUUUCUGACGCUGAGGCGCGAAAGCCAGGGGAGCAAACGGG
rnacentral:rRNA from 1 species